CCUACGGGUGGCAGCAGUGGGGAAUAUUGGGCAAUGGGCGCAAGCCUGACCCAGCAACGCCGCGUGAAGGAAGAAGGCUUUCGGGUUGUAAACUUCUUUUGACAGGGAAGAGCAGAAGACGGUACCUGUCGAAUAAGCCACGGCUAACUACGUGCCAGCAGCCGCGGUAAUACGUAGGUGGCAAGCGUUGUCCGGAUUUACUGGGUGUAAAGGGCGUGUAGCCGGGCUGACAAGUCAGAUGUGAAAUCCGGGGGCUCAACCCCCGAACUGCAUUUGAAACUGUUGGUCUUGAGUAUCGGAGAGGCAGGCGGAAUUCCUAGUGUAGCGGUGAAAUGCGUAGAGAUCGGGAGGAACACCAGUGGCGAAGGCGGCCUACUGGGCUUUAACUGACGCUGAGGCACGAAAGCAUGGGUAGCAAACAGGAUUAGAUACCCUGGUAGUC
rnacentral:rRNA from 1 species